ACUAGUUUCGAUUCCGAUUUCUACCUAUUGGGUAUUUUGAACCGGAACCGAUAUCAUGAACUGGUUACUAAUUAAAAAAAAAAAAAGAGUAAAGUUAACUAGCCCCCUUACUCUCCCUUAUCAUCAACCAGCACCUUUCAUCUUCAAUCUCUCUCUCUCUCUCGGUCAUUCUCGAGAAAAAAAAAACAAACAAACAAACAAACCACAACAUAUCGUCUCGAUCUCCUCCUUGAACCGUUAAGUUGCCCUCCUCGAAACUCUAUGCUGAGCUACUUGCUGCUCAUGCCCUCGAGCUGCUCCUACGCCUUUACCUGCUGCUGCUGCUACUCCAAUGCCCACUUCGAGCAAAGCUAAAUUUUCCUUCCAUUGCCUUGGCUUGAUCCCUACCGAAGUUUAUCGAUCUUGCUUUUACAUUCGGUUUCCUUUCAGCUACUUGUUCUUUCUCUUUUGUAGCUCGGUUCGAACACUCUCCUUCUUGAGUUCCAUCCCUUGAGCUACUAGCCAUUCCCCCUCGAACUUCUGAGCUGCAGGUUACGACCCACGAAUUUUGGGGGCAACAAGUUGAAGCUGAACUUCAGGGAGUCAAGUUGGGUUUCGAGCUGGCCCGGGCCAUGCGAUUAAGGAAAGGCUCGUGAGCUAUAAGCGACAUCGCCAGGUCGGGUUUCAAAUAUAUAAAAACUAGAUGUAGACCUGCGCUACGAGCGAAAUUUAUUAAAUAAAUUUUUUUUCAAGUUCAAUUUUUAUAAUGCAUUGUAAUUUUUUCAUUAAUCUUAAUUAGUCGGAA